UAUGGCUGUUCGGGCUAGCUAGCCGAUGGGAUAGAUCCAUGAUUUGAUUCGUCCCCGCACGUGCGGCUCGGUGACGGUGACUUGUCGCUCGAUUGCAUUGGUCAUCAACCGUCUUUUUUACAUGACCACGGAAUCAAAAACAUCAACAACAGCAAAUGAGUGGCGUGUUACGAUCGAAAACACAGGGUAACUAGGCUUGGAGGUGUGGAGAGCGAAAGAGAGGAGAAGAGAAAGGAAUUGGGAGUAGGAGAAGGGAGUCGUCAUGAGCAAGAGGAAGCAAGAGGGUUGCAGAGACAUUCGGC
ensembl:lncRNA